GGGUCAGUAGGUUGGUCGUGCCACCGGUACGUACUGGUCUCACUGAUUCCUCCUUCCUGAAGAACCGUAAUGCCAUUAAUGUGGUGUUGCGGGGACACAGGACUGUUACUUUGAAAAAAUUAGAGUGUUUAAAGCAAGCUAACGCUUGAAUACAUUAGCAUGGAAUUAUGAAAUAGGACGAUCGAUCCUCUUUUGUUGGUUUCUAGGAUUGACGUA
rnacentral:rRNA from 1 species